ensembl:lncRNA
UUGUGUAUGUUUCCCGACCUCUUCUCGAGACCUUGGGGCUCAGGUCCUGGUGGCCGUCGGGGGUCUAGUCUCCUGUGAUGUAGGAAAGAAGGAACUAGAGCGCCUAGCUCCCUAUCUCUGCUCCGCUUUUUACAAACGGUACUAAAUUCCUGGGAAGUUUCGGGAGGUACACGUCGGCACUCCCCAGCUAAUCUCUGAGAACUUUUAAUUCGGGGCCCUGGUGUACGUAAAGGUUAGUCCACGAGGUGCGCAGAAGGGACAAGGGCUACUAGGCCAGUCGCGCUCUCCGAGUUCUGGUGUCCUGUUUGCUCUGAGCUUUCCCUGGAGAACUUCAGUUUCAGCGUGGCCGUAAUUCGGAAAGACUGAAGGUAGAAAACUCUGGAACGGAGAUUGGCGACUGGAGCAGGAUCCAGGGACUUUAAAUUUUAACCUGAAUUCGAUUGAAUGCAUCUACCAGAAGAGAUAGUCCGGCGUCCGCCGUCCACUCAACUCCGACCAGGGCUUCCAAUGCCUUUCUUUUGGUUUCUACACUGGCUUUCCAACCAGAGGAGAGAAUGGAUAGUGAAAUUUUUUUCUUGUCAGUUAACUUCAAAAUAAAACAAAACUGUUUGACCCGUGGAGUUUAUUCAGACGGAAAGCCAGGUUGCCUGACUCGUCCAGUUUGCAAUUUUCCCAGCGCAUCGGCUUUGGCCCCGGAGACAACACCCCCAGGGAGAGGCACAUUUUCAAAGCCACCCUUCACCGGCCCCAGGCCCGGGGCUCUGAUCUCCCUGAGCGCCUCAGUUGGUCCCGGAAAGCGAGGAGAAGAGGGGGUGCAGAGGAAGAAGUGCACCCAAAGAGCUGGCGAAGGCCCCCAUAGUGUUCCAGAGACGUCAGGUGGUGACGGCGGAAGCACUGAAAAUGCGCAGCCUAGAGGUCGCCCCAACCGCGUGCCCUGGCUCUCCGCCCCACUGCCCGCAGCCUGUCAUCGGGCUCCGGAACGCAGCGCCCACGCCGGGCUGUCGCGAUCGGGACCCGGCCCGCGGCCCCGCAGCCCCGGGCCGACCCCGCGCGCCGCCGGCGGCCGCCAGUUCGGCGCGGAGGUGGGCUCGCUGCGGCGGCGCGCGAAAGGUCACCGCGGUGGCAUUCCUGUCCGCGCGCUGUUUACGUGACUUAAUGUACUUCGUCCGCCGCGG